GUGAAGGGGGGAGAAGUGUCCGCGCCAUUGGUGCGAGCGCGAGCGAAACGGAGCGAGGGUCGGAGCUCCCCACUCCCGCGACGGCGCGGCGCUUCGUGUGUAGUCGCAGUCGCCUUUCACGGGUACGGUCGGGUUGGUCGGUCGGUCGGUCGGUCGGUCGGUCGUUCGGUCGGUCGGUCGCCCGAGCGGGGCUUGGAACAACAUACACGUUCGCGAACGCGUUUUUCGUCCGAGUCGCUCCGGGAAUUACGUCGUCGUCGCAUCGGUGGAGUCCCUCUCGGUAAGGGCCGGCUGCGACACGCAACGCAACGAGACACGCACGCAUACACGCAUACACGCGCACGCGGCGGACAGACGUAUACCUCUCUCUGUCCUCAUACUUCGUCGCGAGAGCGCCGCGCGGUCCGGACGCGCACUCGACUCCACGGUGACAGGUCGCGUGGAGCAGAAGUGCGAGAGUGUGCGUCUCCCAGAGAGGACGCCGUUAUCCUUCCUCGCGUCUGUCACGUUAGGAAAAAACAAAUCGAGAGAGGUAGACGAGCGAGCGGGCGGGCGCGCGCGCUCGUUGGGAUUAUUUAAAAACGCGCACCGCCCUGAAGCGGGUUGCCGCGUCCGUUCGAAGUACAACACGCCUCUGCCGCGUUAAGUUUUGCCGGCUGGUGCGCGCGCGUAGCCGCCGCGCGAGUCCCUGGCAUGGAGUGAUCUGCUUGCCGCCGUGACUCAUCCCACGCAGCACAAUCGGCCCAGGAUUCUUCGAGGAUGACGGGCAGACACGCGGAACGAAUUGUCGCCGCUCGCGAGGAAUGCGGAAGUCGAGGAUGCCUGAGACGACCGAUGGGGUAAGUACAACGAACUGUUCGAAGAAUUCUUACACUAAAUGUAAUCUCGGUUUAAGCCGCUGCGAGAGAAUCCCAAGCCUUCAAGGGCCGAGCGAUAAUGCCUAAAACCAAAGAAUUAAGCUGGCAUGUCUGUCCUGACACAUCUCACGUCCUCUUAAAAGCAGAACAAGAAUAUAAGGUUGAUCUAAAGCUAUUUAUAAUUAUAACUUCGGCUCGAUUUUUGCUUCUUUUUUUGUAUAAUUCUAAAAU